rnacentral:lncRNA from 1 species
UAAAGCAUGUUGAAGGUAAGGCUCAAUUAGUGCGUGAGCAAUGUAUUGCAGAGUAUCAGGAGUCUGAUGAGCUGAAAAAGAAGAUCGAGCAGGCCUGUGAGGCUUAUCUUCAGGACUACAAAGACUCUUCUGAGUUUAAGGAAUUUGUAGCUGAGGCCUGUGAGGAACAUCUCGAUGAAUAUAAGGCUUCUGGUGAAAUGAAAUCGGCGGUUCUUAAGAAAGCCUUCCGUAUGUAUGUGACCGGCUACAAUCGUGGCUUAAGAGAGGCCAGACACGCUCCUGAUA